rnacentral:tRNA from 1 species
GCCUGGCUGGCUCAGUGGGUAGAGCAUGAGAUUCUUAAUCUCAGGGUUGAGGGUUCAAACCACACAUUAGGUA